UACGUAGGGGGCAAGCGUUGUCCGGAUUUAUUGGGCGUAAAGGGCGCGUAGGCGGUUUCUUAAGUUUGGAGUGACAGUGGGUGGCUUAACUACCUAAGGCCUCUGAAAACUGGGGAACUUGAGGACCAGAGAGGGACAUAGAAUUCCGGGUGGAGUGGUGAAAUGCGUAGAUAUCCGGAGGAAUACCAAAGGCGAAGGCAGUGUCCUGGAGGGUGACUGACGCUGAGGCGCGAAAGCUAGGGGAGCGAACAGG
rnacentral:rRNA from 1 species